rnacentral:rRNA from 1 species
UGGGGAAUUUUGGACAAUGGGCGAAAGCCUGAUCCAGCAAUGCCGCGUGUGUGAAGAAGGCCUUCGGGUUGUAAAGCACUUUUGUCCGGAAAGAAAUCCUUGGCUCUAAUACAGUCGGGGGAUGACGGUACCGGAAGAAUAAGCACCGGCUAACUACGUGCCAGCAGCCGCGGUAAUACGUAGGGUGCAAGCGUUAAUCGGAAUUACUGGGCGUAAAGCGUGCGCAGGCGGUUUGCUAAGACCGAUGUGAAAUCCCCGGGCUCAACCUGGGAACUGCAUUGGUGACUGGCAGGCUAGAGUAUGGCAGAGGGGGGUAGAAUUCCACGUGUAGCAGUGAAAUGCGUAGAGAUGUGGAGGAAUACCGAUGGCGAAGGCAGCCCCCUGGGCCAAUACUGACGCUCAUGCACGAAAGCGUGGGGAGCAAACAGGAUUAGAUACCCUGGUAGUCCACGCCCUAAACGAUGUCAACUAGUUGUUGGGGACUUCAUUUCCUUAGUAACGUAGCUAACGCGUGAAGUUGACCGCCUGGGGAGUACGGUCGCAAGAUUAAAACUCAAAUGAAUUGAC